GGUCAAGUGAAGAAGCGCAUACGGUGGAUGCCUUGGCAGUCAGAGGCGAUGAAAGACGUGGUAGCCUGCGAAAAGCUUCGGGGAGUCGGCAAACAGACUGUGAUCCGGAGAUGUCUGAAUGGGGGAACCCAGCCAUCAUAAGAUGGUUAUCUUACACUGAAUACAUAGGUGUAAGAGGCGAACCAGGGGAACUGAAACAUCUAAGUACCCUGAGGAAAAGAAAUCAACCGAGAUUCCCUUAGUAGUGGCGAGCGAACGGGGACCAGCCCUUAAGUUGUAUUGAGAUUAGCGGAACGCUCUGGAAAGUGCGGCCAUAGUGGGUGAUAGCCCUGUACGCGAAAAUCCCUUUGCAAUGAAAUCGAGUAGGACGGGGCACGAGAAACCUUGUCUGAAUAUGGGGGGACCAUCCUCCAAGGCUAAAUACUACUGACUGACCGAUAGUGAACCAGUACCGUGAGGGAAAGGCGAAAAGAACCGCGGAGAGCGGAGUGAAAUAGAUCCUGAAACCGUAUGCGUACAAGCAGUGGGAGCCCACUUUGUUGGGUGACUGCGUACCUUUUGUAUAAUGGGUCAGCGACUUAUUUUCAGUGGCGAGCUUAACCGAAUAGGGGAGGCGUAGCGAAAGCGAGUCUUAAUAGGGCGUCUAGUCGCUGGGAAUAGACCCGAAACCGGGCGAUCUAUCCAUGGGCAGGUUGAAGGUUGGGUAACACUAACUGGAGGACCGAACCGACUACCGUUGAAAAGUUAGCGGAUGACCUGUGGAUCGGAGUGAAAGGCUAAUCAAGCUCGGAGAUAGCUGGUUCUCCUCGAAAGCUAUUUAGGUAGCGCCUCAUGUAUCACUGUAGGGGGUAGAGCACUGUUUCGGCUAGGGGGUCAUCCCGACUUACCAAACCGAUGCAAACUCCGAAUACCUACAAGUGCCGAGCAUGGGAGACACACGGCGGGUGCUAACGUCCGUCGUGAAAAGGGAAACAACCCAGACCGUCAGCUAAGGUCCCAAAGUCAUGGUUAAGUGGGAAACGAUGUGGGAAGGCUUAGACAGCUAGGAGGUUGGCUUAGAAGCAGCCACCCUUUAAAGAAAGCGUAAUAGCUCACUAGUCGAGUCGGCCUGCGCGGAAGAUGUAACGGGGCUCAAACCAUGCACCGAAGCUACGGGUAUCAUCUUAUGAUGAUGCGGUAGAGGAGCGUUCUGUAAGCCUGUGAAGGUGAGUUGAGAAGCUUGCUGGAGGUAUCAGAAGUGCGAAUGCUGACAUGAGUAACGACAAUGGGUGUGAAAAACACCCACGCCGAAAGACCAAGGUUUCCUGCGCAACGUUAAUCGACGCAGGGUUAGUCGGUCCCUAAGGCGAGGCUGAAAAGCGUAGUCGAUGGAAAACAGGUUAAUAUUCCUGUACUUCUGGUUAUUGCGAUGGAGGGACGGAGAAGGCUAGGCCAGCCUGGCGUUGGUAGUCCAGGUUUAAGGUGGUAGGCUGAGAUCUUAGGUAAAUCCGGGAUCUUAAGGCCGAGAGCUGAUGACGAGUGUUCUUUUAGAACAUGAAGUGGUUGAUGCCAUGCUUCCAAGAAAAGCUUCUAAGCUUCAGGUAACCAGGAACCGUACCCCAAACCGACACAGGUGGUUGGGUAGAGAAUACCAAGGCGCUUGAGAGAACUCGGGUGAAGGAACUAGGCAAAAUGGCACCGUAACUUCGGGAGAAGGUGCGCCGGUGAGGGUGAAGCAUUUACUGCGUAAGCCCACGCCGGUCGAAGAUACCAGGCCGCUGCGACUGUUUAUUAAAAACACAGCACUCUGCAAACACGAAAGUGGACGUAUAGGGUGUGACGCCUGCCCGGUGCCGGAAGGUUAAUUGAUGGGGUUAGCGCAAGCGAAGCUCUUGAUCGAAGCCCCGGUAAACGGCGGCCGUAACUAUAACGGUCCUAAGGUAGCGAAAUUCCUUGUCGGGUAAGUUCCGACCUGCACGAAUGGCGUAACGAUGGCGGCGCUGUCUCCACCCGAGACUCAGUGAAAUUGAAAUCGCUGUGAAGAUGCAGUGUAUCCGCGGCUAGACGGAAAGACCCCGUGAACCUUUACUAUAGCUUUGCACUGGACUUUGAAUUUGCUUGUGUAGGAUAGGUGGGAGGCUUUGAAGCGUGGACGCCAGUCUGCGUGGAGCCAACCUUGAAAUACCACCCUGGCAACUUUGAGGUUCUAACUCAGGUCCGUUAUCCGGAUCGAGGACAGUGUAUGGUGGGUAGUUUGACUGGGGCGGUCUCCUCCUAAAGAGUAACGGAGGAGUACGAAGGUGCGCUCAGACCGGUCGGAAAUCGGUCGUAGAGUAUAAAGGCAAAAGCGCGCUUGACUGCGAGACAGACACGUCGAGCAGGUACGAAAGUAGGUCUUAGUGAUCCGGUGGUUCUGUAUGGAAGGGCCAUCGCUCAACGGAUAAAAGGUACUCCGGGGAUAACAGGCUGAUACCGCCCAAGAGUUCAUAUCGACGGCGGUGUUUGGCACCUCGAUGUCGGCUCAUCACAUCCUGGGGCUGAAGCCGGUCCCAAGGGUAUGGCUGUUCGCCAUUUAAAGUGGUACGCGAGCUGGGUUUAGAACGUCGUGAGACAGUUCGGUCCCUAUCUGCCGUGGACGUUUGAGAUUUGAGAGGGGCUGCUCCUAGUACGAGAGGACCGGAGUGGACGAACCUCUGGUGUUCCGGUUGUCACGCCAGUGGCAUUGCCGGGUAGCUAUGUUCGGAAAAGAUAACCGCUGAAAGCAUCUAAGCGGGAAACUUGCCUCAAGAUGAGAUCUCACUGGAACCUUGAGUUCCCUGAAGGGCCGUCGAAGACUACGACGUUGAUAGGUUGGGUGUGUAAGCGCUGUGAGGCGUUGAGCUAACCAAUACUAAUUGCCCGUGAGGCUUGACCAUAUAACACCCA
rnacentral:rRNA from 2 species